rnacentral:rRNA from 1 species
UACGUAGGGUCCGAGCGUUGUCCGGAAUUAUUGGGCGUAAAGGGCUCGUAGGCGGUCUGUCGCGUCGGGAGUGAAAUUUUACAGCUUAACUGUGAACGUGCUUUCGAUACGGGCAGACUGGAGGUAUGCAGGGGAGAACGGAAUUCCUGGUGUAGCGGUGAAAUGCGCAGAUAUCAGGAGGAACACCGGUGGCGAAGGCGGGUCUCUGGGCAGUGAACUGACGCUGAGGUGCGAAAGCAUGGGGAGCGAACGGG